rfam:Chlorocebus sabaeus isolate 1994-021 chromosome 15, whole genome shotgun sequence.
GCCAGGCCUGAUGGCGUGUGCCUGUAAUCCCAGCUACUCGGGAGGCUAAGGCAGGAGAAUCGCUUGAACCUGGGAGGUGGAGGUUGUAAUGAACCGAUAUCACACCACCACACUCCAGCCUGGCGACACAGGAAGACUCCGUCUCAAAAAAAAAAAAAAAANNNNNNNNNNUUUUUUUUUUGAGACGGAGCCUUCCUGUGUCGCCAGGCUGGAGUGUGGUGGUGUGAUAUCGGUUCAUUACAACCUCCACCUCCCAGGUUCAAGCGAUUCUCCUGCCUC